rnacentral:rRNA from 1 species
CGUGUAGGCGGCUGGGUAAGUUGGACGUGAAAGCUCCUGGCUCAACUGGGAGAGGUCGUUCAAAACUGCCCGGCUAGAGGGCGACAGAGGGAGGUGGAAUUCCCGGUGUAGUGGUGAAAUGCGUAGAUAUCGGGAGGAACACCAGUGGCGAAGGCGGCCUCCUGGGUCGGCCCCUCGACGCUCAGACGCGAAAGCUAGGGAGCGAACG